AGAGCCAAGGUUGAUUGGAAAAGUCAGGCCUGGCAUUUGGGGAUGUAGGCAGUGGUGGUGCCAACAGGUGGUGUCAAGGGGCUUUAGGAGCGGGUGUCAGCAGCUGCCAUGGGCUGAACGUUUAUGUCCCUCCACAAUUCACCAAUGUGAUUGUAUUAGGAGGUGGGAGUCUUCGGGAGGUAAUUAGGUCAUAGGGUUGGAGCGUGCUCAUGCUGGGGAUUAGCGCCCUUAUAAAACAGGUUCCAGAGAGCUAGCUCACCCCUUCCACCACAUGAGGACACAAGGAGAAGGCGCCAUCUGUGAACUGGAAAGCAGACCCUCACUAGACGCCGACUCUGCUGAUACCAUGAUUGUGGACUUCCCAGCCUCCAGAACUGUUAGCUGAGACUACAGGCAUACACCACACCCAGCUACUCUGUCUCUUGAAGACCCCCUCGAACACUGGGUCAAGUGUCAUGACCAGAACUGAUAAACCCAGAGCCUUGUUUGAGUGAGCUCGAGUUUUGCAAGGAGCAAGAACCAAGAAUCUGUCUGCAGGGAAGAGGGUACCCAGGGCCAGGAGACAGGUUUCUGGGUAGCAGCCUCUACAGUGAACCAGGGUGGAUACCUAAGACAUUUUUAAGUACCCUUAAAAGACCUCUAGGCAACCAUAACAAAGGUCAACAAAUGAAACUCAAGCAUGAAUAAACAGGAAGAAGAGUCUAGGAUUGUAGCCGACCAUCUAAUGGUGCAGUGCAUCACCCACGGUACCCGCUGAAGGGACAGUCUUGUGCCGGCCAUCUCAGUGCCCUCCCUUCUUGGCCUUGCUGAUUAGACCCCAAGGGAACCAGGACACAAGGCGGCCAAUCCAGAGAUGUAUCAUGUGCCCUGGCGGAAGACAGAUGAGCUGGCUUAGGAACAUGAAUGAGGAACUCCAGCAAUGAGGAGGUUAGCAGCUGAUGCAGGCAUUGAAAGGGGGAGAGAAAGAGGUCAGAGAGAGACCACGUGACUCUGGGAGAGCGCUGGAGUAACCAGCUGGCCCCUAGAGUGGGCCUUACUCUGGUCCAGGCUCUGUCUGGACCAGUUUGUUGCACUCAUCUUGAAAGCAAGCUCAGCCCUUCUUCUUUUUAAAAAAAAUUUUAUUUCUUUACUUUUUUUUGAGACAGGGUCUUGCUCU